rnacentral:rRNA from 1 species
UACGUAGGUGGCAAGCGUUGUUCGGAAUUAUUGGGCGUAAAGGGCGCGUAGGCGGUUUUGUAAGUCAGCUGUGAAAGCCCGGGGCUCAACCCCGGAGGGUCGGCUGAUACUGCAGGACUAGAGUACGGAAGAGGUAGCUGGAAUUCCCGGUGUAGCGGUGAAAUGCGUAGAUAUCGUGAGGAAUACCAGAGGCGAAGGCGGCUCCCUGGACAAUUGCUGACGCUCAGGCACGAAAGCGUGGGGAGCAAAAGGG